AUCAGAGUGAAGAUGCCUUUCUAGAGAUGACUGGUUGUUGUUUUUUCCUCACAUGCAAGUUUUCAAAAAGAGCAAUUGAAGCCCAUCUCUUGAACAAUGACGACAGCUCCUCAUUUUCGACAACAAUAGAGGGCACGUAGGAGUCAGCUCAUUAGAAUAUCUGUGGCUCUUUUCUGUUCUCUCUGCAUUAAGCCCCCAUAAUGUCAGUUGUCACUUAUUAAUGACAAUUAACUAGUAAUCAGUAGUGA